rnacentral:miRNA from 1 species
UGGAUUGGCUAAAAAGUUCGUUCGGGUUUUUCUGUAACAUGGAAAAACCCAAAUGAACUUUUUGGCCAACCCA